rnacentral:rRNA from 1 species
AUUGCACGCUGGCGGCAGGCCUAACACAUGCAAGUCGAGCGAGCGGCGGACGGGUGAGUAAGGUAUGGGGAUCUGCCCGAUAAAGGGGGAUAACUACUGGAAAAGGUGGAUAAUAACGCAAACUAACGGAUGAACCAAUAUGGGAUUAGCUAGUAGGUGGGGUAAAGGCUCACAUAGGCGACGAUGCCUAGCUGGUCUGAGAGGAUGAUAAGCCACACUGGGACUGUGACACGGCCCAGACUCCUACGGGAGGCAGCAGUGGGGAAUCUUGCACAAUGGGCGAAAGCCUGAUGCAGCCAUGCCGCGUGUAUGAAGAAGGCCUUAGGGUUGUAAAGUACUUUCAUCGGUGAGGCGGUACCCGCAGAAUAAGCACCGGCUAACUCCGUGCCAGCAGCCGCGGUAAUAC